rnacentral:lncRNA from 1 species
AGUCAACGACGCUUAGCAAUCCGGAGAGAAAUAGGGUGUUUUCUUCCCGAGAGAGGACUGCUAAGAGGGGGUUAAAGGGGGACGAUGUGAAGGAGAGAACCUGUGGUCCUUCAGAAGGCGAAGAAGAAAGAAAGGGGAAGCAGUGAAGAAAGGGACGGAGAUACUGGGACAGGGAGAAAAAAGUUGUGGAGAGUAGCUUUUAAGGAGUCAUUUGGUGGCCAUGGAUCCAACGUGCUCUUCUGAGUGCAUUUAUAACCUCAUACCCAGUGACUUGAAGGAGCCUCCCCAGCCUCCUAGGAUUAUGGUGUCACACCUGAAUACAUAUGUAAGCGAAACGAGGAAAUAAAGAAAGCCCAAGAAGACUAUGAUCGUUAUAUCCAGGAAAACCUUAAGAAAGCAGCUAUGAAAAGGCUCUCCGAUGAAGAAAGGGAGGCAGUUUUGCAGCGCAUGAUACCAACAGCACAACUUUGAAAACUGUUAAGUAUUUUGAACUGGAAAUAGUAACACGUGCCUUCUUGCUACUCUAAACUGUCUCCAACACAUUGUUUCUGAGCUCCACAAAUGCAAAAGAUGUAUUUUCCUGUGGCCCAUGACAUUUGCAGUUAUUCCCAGUGAGAAAUAUUUUCAGUAUUCGUAACACUGUAUAUGAUGAAAGGCUUCUAUUUGGAGGAAGAAAAAUUAAGAAGACAACUUACAAAAUCAAGAUGACAACUUAUAAAGGCAUCAUUGAGGAUGAUUAAGGAGAAUAGCCUCCUUUCUAGCAUACCAACCUCGAUACUCUUAUUUUAUUCCACAACUCACUAUGCAUAUCUUAUUUAAAUGUUUUUUUCCUUUUGGUCCUUUCUACUUAUCUAUUUUGUGAAUUCUAAAGUUACAUUUGUAAGAUUACAUAAUCUAUUAAGCAAUAAGUUUAUGUUAGUAGAGCUGUUUUCAACCCAAAAAUAAGAAAAAAUAGCUCUAAAUAUCUAAAAGGAAAAGGUUAUUUUAUGAAAUUUUAAAUUAGAAAAAUUUGGUAAAAUAUAUGCAACUAUAAAAUAUCAGAGAAAUAACAAUUUCUACUGCUUACACUGGUUUUUAUCCUCUGGACAACAUAAAAAACAAAAUAUGGGAGUCUUUCAGGCUUUUUUCACAAACACAGAAUUUGGAAGCCUUAUAGAAAAGCUUAUUUUGGUUACUUAAAGAAAAGUAGUUUAUAUACAAUUAUUUUUUGAAAAUUCACUUGAAACUUGUCCAUAUGAGUAUCUUUAUUCCUUUAUUAACUUAGGGCAGAUAUAAAAUAAAGGAUAAUAUAUGACAAAUUCUCACUUACCAAGAAUGGUUGGUUGCUAUUUAGGGUAGGCUAACAGCUGUGACAGUACACUCCAAAAUGUAUAAUUACGUAAACACAUAUUCAAUUCUUGCUAACAUAGCAGUACUUUGCUGUGAGCAGGUCAGCAGGAACCCUUUUCUGCAGUCACUCAGGGACCCAGACUUACAGAGUGGGUAGGAUGCAUCUGAUCCAGAGUUAGGGAGAGGCACGUACAGGCCAGGCCUAGAAAUGAUGCAUAUCAUUCCCGUUUGCAUCGCUAAGUAAGCAACUUAAGUUGCUUUAACAAACUAACUCCAAAUCUCAGUUUCCUGAUAAAGAUACAUUUUUCAUUUACAUCACUGUGCAAUGUGACUAAGGGUAGGGGUAUAAGUCUGUUCCAUGCAGUCACUCAGGGACCCAGUCUCCUUUUGUCUGGUGACUCUGUUGAUCCAGGCAGUCUUUCUCUGCCAAUUCAGGAUGAGAUGUUUAGGUAAGUAUUUUAUUUGUGAAAUGAUUGCUAUACAUACUCAUUUUUAAAUAAUUCAAAAUCAGUAGCAAUGCAAAAAUAUUCUGAUUACUUUAGCCUUAUGGAUAUUAUGCUUUGAAGUCAUGAGUGGGAGUUGCCUUAAAUGUUAAAAUGAAAACUUUGUGGUUUUAACAGCUAAUUCUUUUGCUUUCUGUAAAUGUCUACUAAAGAAUCUAGACUUUUCUCUAUGGUCUACAGUGUUGUCCUAGAUGAACAUUGUUGCCUUUCUUUCACAGAGCCUUCAGAGGGAAACAUUCCCAUCCAUUGUUCCUGGAAAGGUGAUCCCUACCACGGGAUCCCAAACUUGGAUAGAGCCAGUUCAACCUCCCCCAAUCCAUACACAUACAUACCUAGGUCAUCCUAUCACCCAAAAGAGGGACAAACAUCUGACUUGGACAGCUGACCAGUGACUGAUCAGAUUCUCUCUCUCUUGAGAGCAUGAAUUAAGAGACAUGGAGACUGCAGUCACUUGGGAGUAGACACCUGAAACUAAAAAGUCAAACUUCAUUAUGCAGCUAGUUUGACUUGGUUUCUCUUCCUGUUCAAAGGAAGAAUGGGUAGAAUAAAGAUUUGAUGUGGUCUGGCCCCUUGUCUAUGAUCUUUUUAGCUUGAUUUCUUGAAAUGCUGCUUCUUCCCUACCCACUGUAACUGGCAUUCCCAUAGUACUGAGGUACUAGAGACCUCUGAGAUCUGCACACAUGGUUCCCUCCACCCAGAAAACUGCCCUUUUCUUUCUCUCAUCCUACAUAGCUGCCUGGCAAAUCCCUAGUCUUCAUCAGCUCACAUCACAUUUCCAUGACAAUCCCCUUUGAUUCCUCAGAAUCUGGCCUUCCUUUAUAGCACUGGUCAUAUUGUAUUGUGCAUAUCUGGUUAUUUGCCUGUUUUCCAUGAACAUUUCAAGCUUAUGGGGGAGAAGACACUGUAUACAUUUUCAUCUGCAUUCCUUAGAAUCUGCAUAACAGCUGGUAUAGAGAAGGUACUCAAAAAAUCCUUAAUGAAUAAAGUAAUGGAUCGUACCCAAACAUGUA